rnacentral:tRNA from 1 species
GGGCCUAUAGCUCAGUUGGUUAGAGCAGCGGACUCAUAAUCCGUUGGUCGCUGGUUCGAGUCCAGCUGGGCCCACCA